rnacentral:rRNA from 1 species
AUUGAACGCUGGCGGCAGGCCUAACACAUGCAAGUCGAGCGGAGCGGCGGACGGGUGAGUAAUGCCUAGGAAUCUGCCUGGUAGUGGGGGAUAACGUCCGGCAACGGGCGCUAAUACCGCAUACUAUCAGAUUAGCCUAGGUCGGAUUAGCUAUUUGGUGGGGUAAAGGCCUACCAAGGCGACGAUCCGUAACUGGUCUGAGAGGAGGAUCAGUCACACUGGAACUGAGACACGGUCCAGACUCGUACGGGAGGCAGCAGUGGGGAAGAUUGGACAAUGGGCGAAAGCCUGAUCCAGCAAUGCCGGGUGUGUGAAGAAGGUCUUCGGAUUGUAAAGCACUUUAAGUUGGGAGGGGUAAGGAAGAGAAUAAGCACCGGCUAACUUCGUGCCAGCAGCCGCGGUAAAAG